AGCUAUUUCAAAGUUGACGCUCCAUUGACAAUGUGACGAGUGAGUGAACGGCCCUGUACCAAGAUGGCCGCCAUGUGACGACGUUAGUCCCCAUUGGGUUACAGCGCGCAUGAGCCAUCUAGUGUUUGUAUAUAUAUCUACGGUGAGGUCCAGGAGG